ACACCAACUAUGGAAAUGUCCUCCUUGUUCAUUCGGAAAAUUGUAAUUAGACGAGACGUUCAAAUAACAAAUAGGAAGAAUGGGAUGCGGAGGAAGAGAGUAAUGUUUUGGUGGAUUAGGCAGUUUACUAACCAUUUUCAUGUAACAAAGUGGGUGAAGAGAUAGAAAAUGUAGCAACUGUAUGUUAUCCAUCAACUACUCAUGCAUCAAG